GGGUGACGCUUGCAAGCCGAAGAACACCAUCCCAACCGUCAAGCACGGGGUUGGCAGCAUCAUGUUGUCGGGGUGCUUUGCUGCAGGAGGGACUGGUGCACUUCACAAAAUAGAUGGCAUCAUGAGGCAGGAAAAUUAUGUGGAUAUAUUGAAGCAACAUCUCAAGACAUCAGUCAGGAAGUUAAACAAUUUAAAAGGCAAUGCUACCAAAUACUAAUUGAGUGUAUGUAAACUUCUGACCCACUGGGAAUGCGAUAAAAGAAAGAAAAGCUGAAAUAAAUCAUUCUCUCUACUAUUAUUCUGACAUUUCACAUUCUUAAAAUAAAGUGGUGAUCCUAACUGACAGGGAAUUUUUACUAUGAUUAAAUGUCAGGAAUUGUGAAAAACUGAGUAUGAAUGUAUUUGUCUAAGGUGUAUGUAAACUUCCGACUUCAACUGUAAUUGAGUGCCCUUAUUUGCUUUUUUGUUCACAGUACCAUGUUUGAUGUGGUUAAUUUCCCGAAUGAAGAUGACAGUUUAGCUGUGUUAUUGGCCUCCAUACAAGAGCCAAGAGAGGUUAAGGAAGGCAGUGAUGUCGCAGGAACGGCCAGACAUUGAUACAUGGGAGGUGUAUUCAAUGAAAUUACUGGAGACAAGGAAUUCAUAUGAGAAAGCCCAUGACUGCUCAAGCCUGGAAACAGAGCCAGUGUCUCACCAAAGAAAGAGAAAGUCCUCAGUCCUCUUCGUCACAGGGUCCAGCUGCUCAACAGCAUGAAGCUACCUGAUCUUGCCCAUCAUAUUAUCUGAGGUGUAAAGGGAGACUCUGUUUAUCUCUGAACUCUGUUUAUCAUGCAUCCUUGCUCUUUAUUACAAAUGCCAAGUCACUCACCCACCAUUGCACCUUGUACCAAAUGGUAGGUUGGACCUCACUUUAUAUGCGCAGAAAAGAUACAUUUGUAUGUGUUCAUCUACAAAGCCCUUUUGUGUAAAUUCCCUCUGUAGUCUGGUCGCCUUCACCACCAGCAGUUACUAGGUGAUUGCUACUUAAAGUCCCCAGGACAUUCACAGUAUUAGGCAAGACUGCCUUCUUUUCUUGUGCACCAGAGGCAUGGAAUAGUCUACAAUCCAUGCUUCAUCUAGAUAUGUUAGUGCCACUGAAUUAAUUUAAAAUAUUGAUGGGAGACUUUGUUACGGAGGAGUGUAAAUGCUUUUUUAGGCUUGAUCAUGUUGUGUUGUAUUGUUGUAUGUUUUAAUUCUGUAAUGUAUUGAUUGUUGUUGCCUUCUUGGCCAGGUCUCCCUUGAAAAAGAGAUUCUGGGUCUCAACGGGCUUUUCCUGGUUAAAUAAAGGUUAAAUAAAAUAAAUAAAAAUGUUAAUCUUUAAAAAUAAAAUGAAAACACAUCUUCUGUCAGCAAGUUACCACGGGUGUGUUUCACAAUAAUUAUUACUUUCAUGCAACAAUUAUCAACACAAACCAUUUGUUAGAUUUUUUUUUUUAAUGUACAAGCAGGAUAUAGAAA